AGCCGUCGCGCCGUCUUGGGGUCUGCCGUCAGGUCCGAGUCGAAGGAAGGGAGAAGCCGCUCUGUCAGUGUCGCGCAGAGAGGGACUCGCCGCCAGCUCCGUCGUCCUCACUGCUGCGCCAUCGUCGGGUCCGCAAUCGUGGAGGAAGCACAGCGCCGCCGUGGGUCCCUUUUUGUCGAACUCGAAGGAGGAGGAAGGCCGAGAAUGGGCGACGCUGGGAGAGAAGGAGACGCGAGCUGGAGGAGUUGCGUCCAGUCGCCGCCGACACGCCACUGACCACCGUCGUUUCACCGCGCCGAGGGUCCCUUUCCUGCUAGAUCUGCCACCAUGAAACCCCGCAGUGCCUCUGGUUGCCGGAAAACGGUGGUGGAUGUUGGUGCUGGGAUAACGCCGCCACUGCUGCUGGCCGUUUCGAGCUGCUCCGCCAUCUCUGCCGCCGGAGAACGCAGCUUAGUCGCCGGAAAACCACUGCCGCCGCGGUUGUCGGAGUCUUUCAUCGCCGCUGCCGCUUGAGGUGGCUGACGGAGUCGCUGCCGGGUUGAUAUGGAGCUGCGGCUGCUUUGUUUCGCUAGCUCAUGUUGCUAUGGUUAUUGCGAAAGUGACUGGGAGCUGAGGUUUUGGUUGCC